UGGGGAAUUUUGGACAAUGGGCGAAAGCCUGAUCCAGCAAUGCCGCGUGUGUGAAGAAGGCCUUCGGGUUGUAAAGCACUUUUGUCCGGAAAGAAAUCCUUGGCUCUAAUACAGUCGGGGGAUGACGGUACCGGAAGAAUAAGCACCGGCUAACUACGUGCCAGCAGCCGCGGUAAUACGUAGGGUGCAAGCGUUAAUCGGAAUUACUGGGCGUAAAGCGUGCGCAGGCGGUUUGCUAAGACCGAUGUGAAAUCCCCGGGCUCAACCUGGGAACUGCAUUGGUGACUGGCAGGCUAGAGUAUGGCAGAGGGGGGUAGAAUUCACGUGUAGCAGUGAAAUGCGUAGAGAUGUGGAGGAAUACCGAUGGCGAAGGCAGCCCCCUGGGCCAAUACUGACGCUCAUGCACGAAAGCGUGGGGAGCAAACAGGAUUAGAUACCCUGGUAGUCCACGCCCUAAACGAUGUCAACUAGUUGUUGGGGAUUCAUUUCCUUAGUAACGUAGCUAACGCGUGAAGUUGACCGCCUGGGGAGUACGGUCGCAAGAUUAAAACUUCAAAUGAAUUGACGGGGUCAUAGCUGUUUCCU
rnacentral:rRNA from 1 species